UGCCCCUCCGAUGAAUCCAACUGUUGAUUCCUCCUUUCCUCGGGAAAGCGCAAACCCUAGAAAUAUUUCCAGACCCAACAAAAAAAAAAAAAAAAAAAAAAUUCAAAUCCAGAGGGAAAGGGGGUUAACAGUUUCCAAGAACCCUUCUUUCUCCUGAAUCCAAUUCCUACCUUCCCAAUUCCCCUUCCCUACAAUCCCAAUUUGCAAAACCCCCAAUUUUUUCAAUCCCUAGAAUUUCCCCGAUUCGACCCUGAACUUCUUCAGAUUUCGUUUCCAUGACGGUUUCCAAGAACCCUUCUUUUCCCUGAAUCCCAAUUUCCUUCCUACAAUCCCAAUUUGAAAAACCCCCAAUUUGUCAAGUUUUCCGAUUUUGUUUCGAUGAUUUCGAAUCCGAGUCUGGUGUACUACGCGUGCAUUGCCCAGAAGGAAACGAUUCUCGGCGAGAUUGCGAAGGAGCCCGGAAUCGGAGCCCUAGCUCAGAAAUGCAUUGCGAAAACCCCACUGCACCACUCCCUGUACACCCACACCGUCAGAAAGCGGACCUACGUGUUCUCGAUCGUCGACCCUUUCGUGUUCUUCGGCAUUUUCGAUCAAGAUCUCGAUCAGUCCGAGGCGCUUGCGUUCUUGAAUCGAUUGAGAUGCGAUUUCGAGAAGGUGAAUGGAAAUGGUGGAGAAUUUGAAUCGCAUUGUUUUCAAGCUGAGUUUGAUUCGAUUAUGAGGGAGGUGAUGGCGUCGGAGAUGGAUUUGGCGGCGUCGCCGCCGGCGAGCCGGAAUCUGAGCAUGGAUUCGAGUAGUAGUAAAGGGAAGAAAUUGGUGCUGGCGCCGCUGCUGGGGAACCAGGGGUUGAAAAAGAAGAAGAGAUUGUCUGGGGAGGUGAAUGGGGAGCUGUGCAAAGAUGUGGUGAUGAGCACUAUGGAGAAGAAGCUGGAUGUGGGUGAGGAUGGAAGGGAUUUCGCAAUGCCGGCGCUGAAGAGUGGGGGUUUGCAUCCAUGUGAGCGGCAGAAGGCCAAGCAGGUAUGGAGGAGGCAUGUGUGGGUGGUGCUGGUGCUGGACUUGGUCGUGUGUGCCGUCUUGUUUGGGGUUUGGUUGUGGGUUUGCAGGGGGUUUAAGUGCAUCGAUAGUUGAAUUGGGGGUGGCUUGUGUUGCGCUUGGCUUUGAAGAUGAAUGGUUGAGGAAUCUGGCAUACAAGCAAGAAUUUGGGUUUGAUAAGGGAAGGGAGCUCUGUUUCGGUGUUGUAAUGGGGUAACCAUGGCCCUGCACUCAGGGACGGAUCGUUUUUCACCACUAAUGUCGACUCUUCAUCAUCAUCAUCAUCAUCGCCUGAGAGGCGUGGAAUCAAAAGACGGUUUGAUGUACCUCCUGUUGGACCCCUGCCCACGCCAUCUUUUCCUUCUAGGCCCUUCUAGGCCAGUGCAGGGACCGUUCCUCAGAGACGGGAGCUUCAAAAGAAUGAAAGAUUGCGACUUGGCCCAUAUUCUGGUGAGGGAGAAUAUUGAAGUGAGGAGGCUUGCAUGUGCAGCUCCUCCUCCUACCCAAGAGGCAAUGCCAUUGGCAUCCGUCAGAACUGGGAGCUCCCAACCCAAUCUUCAAGUUCCUACUACCAAUGCGACCUCUACUGUUCCAUCACUUUACUCAUCCUCCAGUUCAAGUAACAAAGAGCUUAAACAGAUGGGGCUACCAAUAUCUUUUGGUGCUAAAAAGUCGGGGCUGGGAAGUGAAAGACUGAUUGGGCCAGAGUAUGGAUUAAAAUGUUCAAAUGAGGAUUUCACCAAUCCCUUCUUUCUUAAUUUUUUUGGUCUCGCUGAAACUUAAAAGUAUUUCACUUGAAAAUGUUGUAGCUAUAGGGCUGUGAUUAAAUGGAUGUUCCUGCUCUUAUUGAAUCAAGGAUUUCACCCAAGAGUGUCAUCAACU